rnacentral:rRNA from 1 species
AGUGAACGCUGGCGGUAGGCCUAACACACGCAAGUCGAACGGCAGCACAGUAAGAGCUUGCUCUUACGGGUGGCGAGUGGCGGACGGGUGAGGAAUACAUCGGAAUCUACUUUUUCGUGGGGGAUAACGUAGGGAAACUUACGCUAAUACCGCAUACGACCUACGGGUGAAAGCAGGGGAUCUUCGGACCUUGCGCGAUUGAAUGAGCCGAUGUCGGAUUAGCUAGUUGGCGGGGUAAAGGCCCACCAAGGCGACGAUCCGUAGCUGGUCUGAGAGGAUGAUCAGCCACACUGGAACUGAGACACGGUCCAGACUCCUACGGGAGGCAGCAGUGGGGAAUAUUGGACAAUGGGCGCAAGCCUGAUCCAGCCAUACCGCGUGGGUGAAGAAGGCCUUCGGGUUGUAAAGCCCUUUUGUUGGGAAAGAAAAGCGGCAGGUUAAUACCCCGCUGUUCUGACGGUACCCAAAGAAUAAGCACCGGCUAACUUCGUG